rnacentral:rRNA from 1 species
UACGUAGGGUGCGAGCGUUGUCCGGAAUUACUGGGCGUAAAGAGCUCGUAGGUGGUUUGUCGCGUUGUCCGUGAAAACUCACAGCUUAACUGUGGGCGUGCGGGCGAUACGGGCAGACUGGAGUACUGCAGGGGAGACUGGAAUUCCUGGUGUAGCGGUGGAAUGCGCAGAUAUCAGGAGGAACACCGGUGGCGAAGGCGCCUAUCUGGCCCGAUACUGACGCUGAGGCGCGAAAGCUAGGGGAGCAAACGGG